ACCGAGGAGGUUGGCCUUCUCCACUUCUCCUCCCCUCCACUUUUCUCACUCUUGCGCUUCCAUCCUCACCGGGGCUACAAAUACGUUCCCCUUGCGGGUGUGGCGACUGCGUGGUCGAGACGGCGUCCGUAGAACCCUAAACAAUCUUUCCCAAUCUUUUCCACCUGCUCCGGGUCCUCCUUCUACUGCCGGCCUCCCCACGCCGGUGUUCAGACCCGUCCCUUCUGUCGUUCCUCCGCUCCGGGUCCUCCUCGAGGCGGCAGCAUCGGACGCAACAGACGCGGCGGACGCGACUCGCGGCCCCGGUUUGUGCGGGAUCCAUCAAGGUGGCCUCGGGAAGGAGCAGGUCGCCGGUAUCCCCACGCCUCCUCGCGGCCGCCAUGGCAGGCAAGCAAUCACCUCGCAGCCGAUUUAUUCUCUGCGCACGCCAUGCCUCCCCUGCGGUUUCUCCUCGCGCUGACGGCCUGGGACGCACGCACCGGAUGAGACCCUCCCUGCCGCGGAGGAGAAGCUCGCCGGCCUCCCCCUGCCUCCUUGACGUAGAUAUCAAUGCUCGCAAGCCCAGCUUCAAGAAGACGGUGUGCCAUGUUAAGGUUCCAAAUGUUCUAAACCUCUGCAUAUUCAGGUUCGAUUCAGAAUUUGAGAAGCAGGUGCUUACGGUGUCACGCAGUACAGUGAAAAAGGCGUUCAAAUAUACUUAACAGGUCCAUCAUUUCAGCUUCCGGUUCAUUCAUCUAUCUAAAUUGUGAGGAGGAGCUAUCAAGGCUAGGGAUGUGUAUACAUCACUCCUAGCCACCGGAAGAAGUGGCCAGUUUUCCCCGUACACCUAAUUGUCUACAAUUUUGAUUGAUUUAUUAUUUUUGCAAGAAUUUGAAACUGCAGGACGCCGGAGGCAUCCAAUAGUUGUGAUUUCCUGUUUGCUUUUGUCAAAUAUCUUCAGAAUUGUAAAAGUCACUCGCCUUAUUAAUCUUUUCGUCUCCACAGAGGUUAUGUUUGUGAGCACGUUU